rnacentral:rRNA from 1 species
UACGUAGGGUGCAAGCGUUAAUCGGAAUUACUGGGCGUAAAGCGUGCGCAGGCGGUUAUGUAAGACAGGUGUGAAAUCCCAGGGCUUAACCUUGGAACUGCAUUUGUGACUGCAUAGCUAGAGUGUGGCAGAGGGAGGUGGAAUUCCACGUGUAGCGGUGAAAUGCGUAGAGAUGUGGAGGAACACCGAUGGCGAAGGCAGCCUCCUGGGCCAACACUGACGCUCAUGCACGAAAGCGUGGGGAGCAAACAGG